UCAUUGUCUUGAUUAGUUCCAUUAUACCUGUGUUUCUCUUUGUCCUUCGUCAGUUCAUCUCUUUUCCUUGCAGUGUUCCUGUUGUCCCUGCCGUGUUUUUGCCCUGUUCUUCACUCGAGUUCUUUUCAUCAGCCUGAUGGGUAUCAGGGAGCUGAACCUUGUUCCAGUGGACACAGAGAGAGUGAGCUGUUAGCUGCAGAGCGUCUGAAUGGGCCAUCAGGAGCUGAGUGAUGGCAGAUAAGAGGACAAAGACUGAUUGUGUGUGAACGGAAGAAAGAGAGAGGGGAUGACGUGCUGCAAAGAACCACAGGCUGGAAUUGAACCAGCAGCCACUGCAAUGAGGACGUUGCCUCCAUACAUGAGGUGCCUGCUCUACCAGGUUCCAGCUAAGAUGAAAAAGGAUGGGAAUAAACAAAGCAUGAGUUAUGAAGAUUGUUUGCUGUCUACUUUUGAAAUCAGCGAGCUUUAACUACAGGCUCUGUAUGUGUUUGUUGUGGAAUGUGCCUUUGGUUUGUUAAAGCACGGAGUUGUUUUUUUUUUUUUGUUUGGUUUUUUUUUGGUCCACCCACUCACAGAAUCACUGCUCCCAAAGAAAAACAAUACAAUUAGAGCUUCAAGAAACCUUUUUUUCCAACUGCAAGAAACUUGAUGUCACAAAUUUGAUCU